CAAUAACAAACUGUACAGGGGCCCAGAAGUUCAGCACACCUAGUUAACAAGAGCUAUCUCUGUUUGUUAACUGUAUCUGCAUUCAGAAUUAGACAGUGUGCAUGUAAAUAUGUAUAUUUUGUACAGAUUUCUAUUUAAAUCUAUAUGUUUUAAUAAUGUUUAUAUGUUGCUUUUGUUUGUUUAAUAGUGCAUUUUCAUUAUUCUUUGUAAAUCUGCUUUGAAACAGUAUUUAUUGUGAAAAACUACAAAAACAUUUUUGUAGUUAUUGUUUUAUUGGUUUGUAUGUUUGUAUGAAUUAAAGCUGAUAGAGAACACAUCUUCAGCUCAAUCUGCUUUGACAGAAUAACCAGCAGAGGACAAUAAACACCUUCAGACUCAACCAUUUUCUCUCUGAAAGAAUCUGAAAGCUCUCAGCUGUGUGGAAAUAUACUUUCACUUUUGUUUUUACUUAAAUCUCACUAAACGUGCCGUGGUUUAUGAAAUUUAGACAGACAGAAUAUAAAACUCAUGCAGAACUUUUACAAUGUUCAGAUGCUUCAAUCUUCUUCUGCUGCUGUUUUGUCUCGUCUAUCACAGCGAAAACAUCUCUAAACCUGUGUCAGGAAAAAAAGGAGGAAGCGUCACACUCACAUGUGAACAUGAGGACAAUAAUAUUGUUCAGAUUGAGUUAAUCACUCGGUCAGAAGACAUAGAUGUGUGUCAGACUGAAGAAUGUAGUGGACGAGUGUUUAAAGAAGGAAACUGUGACGUCGUCAUCAAGAAUCUGAGCUUCAGUGAUGCUGGGAAUAACACUUUGAGAAUCUAUUACAAUAAUGAUCAGACAGAGCUGAAAAAAGAGUGGAUGUACCAACUUCAUAUUCAUGAUGAGAUUUCUGUGAAAACAGACGAGGAGCUAAAGAUGUCUGUUCUGUUGUCUAAUGCUGAUAAAGUGGAGACAAACUCUAGUGGAGAGUGGAAGGAGGUUUGGAGCAGAACUGAUGGGGUUCAGAGCGAUCGAAUGACUGAUGAUAAUGAUGGAAACCUGAUCAUUAAAGUGUUUCUGGACAGAGAUGCAGGAACAUACAGAGUUCUGGACUCUGAAGGAGAAAUCUUCAUCACAGUCACAAUCACAGAAUCAGGUACAAAAUCACCGGGAAAACUGGACGACACUGAACAACAACAGAACUGGAUUGUGUCAGUUGUAGUGUGUUUGGUGAUUCUGGCUGUGAUUGUGAUUUCUGUCAUCAUAUGGAGACGUCAGCACAGAGAUCACACACAGGUUCCAGCAGAGGAGAAUACAGAGCACACACAGGAACUGAAGAAACUAUAAUGAUCUUCACUGAACGUGACUCAACUGAACACCUGAGAACCACUGGUUACUUGUGAUCUGCCUUCAGUGCCAAGACGAUUCUGUCAACAUAUAACAGCUGCUGGGGGUGAUAUGUCUGGUUAAAAAAUUAGAGUUGUUGUUUUAAUGAUGUGUGAGCUGACAUUAUUAAGAGAUGAAGUCUAGUAGAAUGCAGUUAGAUUUACCAGAAAUCAUCAGAGAUAAAUGAUCAGCUUUAUGUUGAUUAGCACUGAUCAUUCACUCUAAGUCCAGCAGAACUGAUCCCCACAGUAUAACAGAGUAACUGGAUCUCCUGAUUGUACUGUAACUUCUAUGUAUUUCUAUGUACUUUGAACACAUCUGUUGAAAUCUGUGCCAAUGCAAAGAAGAGGACACACAAAGUUUCUUUCCAUUUUAAACAUCUUAAGAGUUUUUUCUUGCUUCUGUUGUCUGUUACUAUUCUUUGUGCCGUAGUUCAAUUAGGACAUUAAAGUAAUUUUUAUAAACAUUACUGGUGCUUUUAGAGACAAAACAAAGACACUGAUAUAUUUUAAGAUCAGUCAGUGCAAGUUUCUUUCAGCUGAAACAGCUCAGACUUAUUUUAGUCUAGGACUAGGCUCAAGCCUCGUCUGUGAAACAGGGGUACGUGUGUUAAUGUGAGACUGAUGUAUAACUGUGGUCUGUGUAACAUUAGAUACACUAUUUCAGCUCAUGUUACAACAUGUAAACCAAGAAGAGACAUGAUUUGUAUUUGUACGUUUUUGUAAAGUGCUUUUUAUGUAAUAUGCUCAACAUUAAUAAUUAAUCAAAAGCAUCUCCCGGAUGCUGUUCAUAGAGCUUACAGUAUGUUGAAUGAAACCUUGAAUAUUUACAUCUGUACUGUUGUCAAAUGUCUUACAAGCUAAUAAACCACAUUCAGUAUUAAAAACUACACGAGACAAUCAUGAGGAUUUUUAAUAGAUAUUUGCACAUAGAUUUAACGCAGUAACACUUGAGCUGAUAUAAAGACUAUUACUCAGUGCUUUAUGUUUGGAUCUGCAUUGUGGUCUGAUUACAAAAUACAAACAUUGAGAUGUUUUAAACUCUGAACACUGAAGUGAAUGACAUUAACAUUAACGUGAUCUGUGCAGCUCUAACAGCUGAUCUGAGAUCAGAUUCACACCAUCAUGGAGCUGUCCGGGAAACAAGAGUUCCUUCACAAUUAAAGUAAUGUUCUGUUAAUAACCAGCAGAGGACAAUAAUAAUCCCACUUCCGUGAGCUCACCUGUGUGUGUGACACUUUCGAUUUAAUUUUACUUGAAUCUCAAUAAACAUGCUGUUAUUUUUGCAUUAUUUUAACACCUUUUACCAUGUAAGUUUUCAUGUUUUAAAAUAUAAAUCCAGCUGUAUGUUUUAUCCCAUAUGGCAAAAAAAGAAAAGGCAAAAAAAGAAAAGGAAAAAAGAGAUAAUUUUUAUGACCAACAUAUAUUUUAAAUAUGUCAAAAUAUGUGGUAAAUUGAAGCUCAAUUAAAUAUAUUUUUGACCAGAAAUAGAAUAUUUGUUUACCCUCAUAUACCAAAAUGAAUUUCAGGGACUAGAAAAUUUAAAUCCAAUCUUGAAGCAGACUAUGUUUAUGCCA
ensembl:lncRNA